rnacentral:rRNA from 1 species
AUUGAACUCUGGCGGCAGGCCUAACACAUGCAAGUCGAGCGGAGCGGCAGACGGGUGAGUAAUGCCUCGGAAUCUGCCUGGUAGUGGGGGAUAACGUCAGACAACGGUCGCUAAUACAGCAUCCUAUCAGAUGAACCUAGGUCCGAUUAGCUAGGUGGUGGGGUAAAGGCCUACCAAGGCGAAGAUCCGUAACUGGUUUGCGAGGAUGAUCAGUCACACUUGAACGUAGACACGGGCCAGACUCCUACGGUAGGCAGCAGUGGUGAAUAUUGGACAAUGGGCGAAACCCUGAUCCAGCCAUGCCGCGUGUGGGAAGAAGGUCUUCGGUUGGUAAAGCACUUUUAGCUGGAAAGCGUUACCCACAGAAUAAGCACCGGCUAACUUCGUGCCAGCAGCCGCGGUAAUUC